rnacentral:rRNA from 1 species
UACAGAGGGGGCAAGCGUUAUUCGGAAUUAUUGGGCGUAAAGGGCGCGUAGGCGGCUUGGCAAGUGGAUGGUGAAAUCCCUCGGCUUAACCGAGGAACUGCCGUCCAAACUGCUUCGCUUGAGACCGGGAGAGGUGAGUGGAAUUCCCAGUGUAGCGGUGAAAUGCGUAGAUAUUGGGAGGAACACCAGUGGCGAAGGCGGCUCACUGGACCGGUACUGACGCUGAUGCGCGAAAGCGUGGGAGCAACGGG